GAUGAACGCUGGCGGUAUGCCUAACACAUGCAAGUCGAACGGUCACUUAGGUGAUAGUGGCGGACGGGUGAGUAACGCGUGAGAAUCUGCCCUCAGGAUGGGGACAACAGUUGGAAACGACUGCUAAUACCCGAUGUGCCGCAAGGUGAAAGAUUUAUCGCCUGAGGAGGAGCUCGCGUCUGAUUAGCUAGUUGGUAAGGUAAAGGCUUACCAAGGCAUCGAUCAGUAGCUGGUCUGAGAGGAUGAGCAGCCACACUGGGACUGAGACACGGCCCAGACUCCUACGGGAGGCAGCAGUGGGGAAUUUUCCGCAAUGGGCGAAAGCCUGACGGAGCAAUACCGCGUGAGGGAGGAAGGCUCUUGGGUUGUAAACCUCUUUUCUCUGGGAAGAAAAAAAUGACGGUACCAGAGGAAUAAGCAUCGGCUAACUCCGUGCCAGCAGCCGCGGUAAUACGGAGGAUGCAAGCGUUAUCCGGAAUCAUUGGGCGUAAAGCGUCCGUAGGUGGUUUUUCAAGUCUGCUGUCAAAGCCUGGGGCUUAACCCCAGAUAGGCAGUGGAAACUGGGAGACUAGAGUUCGGUAGGGGUAGCGGGAAUUCCCAGUGUAGCGGUGAAAUGCGUAGAUAUUGGGAAGAACAUCGGUGGCGAAGGCGCGCUACUGGGCCGAAACUGACACUCACAGGACGAAAGCUAGGGGAGCGAAAGGGAUUAGAUACCCCUGUAGUCCUAGCUGUAAACGAUGGAAACUAGGUGUGGCUUGUAUCGACCCGAGCCGUGCCGAAGCUAACGCGUUAAGUUUCCCGCCUGGGGAGUACGCACGCAAGUGUGAAACUCAAAGGAAUUGACGGGGGCCCGCACAAGCGGUGGAGUAUGUGGUUUAAUUCGAUGCAACGCGAAGAACCUUACCAGGGCUUGACAUGUCGCGAAUCUCUUAGAAAUAGGAGAGUGCCUUCGGGAACGCGAACACAGGUGGUGCAUGGCUGUCGUCAGCUCGUGUCGUGAGAUGUUGGGUUAAGUCCCGCAACGAGCGCAACCCUCGUUUUUAGUUGCCAUCAUUAAGUUGGGCACUCUAGAGAGACUGCCGGUGACAAACCGGAGGAAGGUGAGGAUGACGUCAAGUCAGCAUGCCCCUUACGCCCUGGGCUACACACGUACUACAAUGGUUGGGACAACGGGUAGCGACCCCGCGAGGGCAAGCGAAUCUCAUCAAACCCAGCCUCAGUUCAGAUUGCAGGCUGCAACUCGCCUGCAUGAAGGAGGAAUCGCUAGUAAUCGCAGGUCAGCAUACUGCGGUGAAUUCGUUYCCGGGCCUUGUACACACCGCCCGUCACACCAUGGAAGCUGGCCACACCCGAAGUCGUUACCCUAACCCUUGUGGAGGGGGACGCCGAAGGUGGGGCUAGUGACUGGGGUGAAGUCGUAACAAGGUAGCCGUACCGGAAGGUGUGGCUGGAUCACCUCCUUUUAGGGAGACCUUCUUUCAUUAUGAAUGCAAAAUGACGAAUUAUGACAAAUAAUUCAGAAUUUAUAAUUUAUAAUUCAUAAUUUAAGACAUCCCAAGGUCGUGCAAGGGGAAGAAAAUCGUAUUAAAGCUUUCAAACUAGGAAGUCUGUUCGGGUCAAUCAGCCAACAGCAGUCAGUCAAACAACUGAUAACUGAUAACUUCUAAGGGCUAUUAGCUCAGCUGGUUAGAGCGCACCCCUGAUAAGGGUGAGGUCCCUGGUUCGAGUCCAGGAUGGCCCACCUAAUUGUUUCGACUGACCCUAUUUGUUCAGCACCGAGUCUUACCUUCAUGAGUGAGACAGACUGCUGGGCCCUAUUAGUAGUCCAGUACAGCACCUUGAAAACUGCAGAAUA
rnacentral:rRNA from 1 species